AUGUAUAUGAUUAUUAUGUCCCCAGAUGAUCGAAGCUGAAAUUACUGAGCUCUUUUUCAUGUAUGAUCUCUGUUCAGGUGAAAAUCCAAGCCUAAUAUUCUUGUAUGU
rfam:Solanum lycopersicum cultivar Heinz 1706 chromosome 12, whole genome shotgun sequence.